rnacentral:rRNA from 1 species
UACAGAGGUCUCAAGCGUUGUUCGGAUUCAUUGGGCGUAAAGGGUGCGUAGGUGGCGCCGUAAGUCAGGUGUGAAAUUUCGGAGCUUAACUCCGAAACUGCAUUUGAUACUGCCGUGCUUGAGGACUGGAGAGGAGACUGGAAUUUACGGUGUAGCGGUGAAAUGCGUAGAUAUCGUAAGGAAGACCAGUGGCGAAGGCGGGUCUCUGGACAGUUCCUGACGCUGAGGCACGAAGGUCAGGGGAGCAAACGGG